rnacentral:rRNA from 1 species
CUACGGGGGGCAGCAGUGGGGAAUAUUGGGCAAUGGGCGCAAGCCUGACCCAGCAACGCCGCGUGAGGGAAGAAGGUUUUCGGGUUGUAAACCUCUGUCCUUGGGGACGAAGAAGUGACGGUACCCAAGGAGGAAGCUCCGGCUAACUACGUGCCAGCAGCCGCGGGAAUACGUAGGGAGCAAGCGUUGUCCGGAAUUACUGGGCGUAAAGGGUGCGUAGGCGGCAUAUUAAGUCAGGUGUGAAAUACUCGGGCUCAACCCGGGGGCUUCAUUUGAAACUGAUAUGCUUGAGUGUGAGAGAGGAAAGUGGAAUUCCUAGUGUAGCGGUGGAAUGCGUAGAUAUUAGGAGGAACACCAGUGGCGAAGGCGACUUUCUGGCUCAUAACUGACGCUGAGGCACGAAAGCGUGGGGAGCAAACAGGAUUAGAUACCCGCGUAGUC